GAAUCAGACAGGCACAGGGACCUGUUCCAGCUGGGAUCCCCAUUCAGAUAGAUCCCAAUCAGGAGUCAGACAGGCACAGGGCCCUGUUCCAGGUGGGGUCCCCAUUCAGGUAGAUUCAAGUCAGGAGUCAGUCAGGCACAGGGCCCUGUCCAAGGUGAGAUUCCCCCUAAGAUGUGCUCAGAUCAGGAGUCAGAGAGGCACAGGGACCUGUUCCAGGUGGGAUCCCCAUUCAGAUAGAUCCCAAUCAGGAGUCAGACAGGCACAGGGCCCUGUUCCAGGUGUGUUUCUCCUCCA